GAUGGGAGCGAGAUCGGGGCUUACUGUCAAUUGAAAUUUUAUUUCAAGUCAGUCUUUUUCUCUCUCCUAUU
rnacentral:pre_miRNA from 1 species